rnacentral:rRNA from 1 species
ACACAUGCAAGUCGAACGAGAAUCUACUGAAAGAGUUUUCGGACAAUGGAUGUAGAGGAAAGUGGCGGACGGGUGAGUAACGCGUGAGGAACCUGCCUUGAAGAGGGGGACAACAGUUGGAAACGACUGCUAAUACCGCAUGACGCAUAGAGGUCGCAUGAUCUUUAUGCCAAAGAUUUAUCGCUUCAAGAUGGCCUCGCGUCUGAUUAGCUAGUUGGCGGGGUAACGGCCCACCAAGGCGACGAUCAGUAGCCGGACUGAGAGGUUGAACGGCCACAUUGGGACUGAGAUACGGCCCAGACUCCUACGGGAGGCAGCAGUGGGGAAUAUUGGGCAAUGGGCGCAAGCCUGACCCAGCAACGCCGCGUGAAGGAAGAAGGCUUUCGGGUUGUAAACUUCUUUUAAGAGGGAAGAGCAGAAGACGGUACCUCUAGAAUAAGCCACGGCUAACUACGUGCCAGCAGCCGCGGUAAUACGUAGGUGGCAAGCGUUGUCCGGAUUUACUGGGUGUAAAGGGUGUGCAGCCGGGUCUGCAAGUCAGAUGUGAAAUCCAUGGGCUCAACCCAUGAACUGCAUUUGAAACUGUAGAUCUUGAGUGUCGGAGGGGCAAUCGGAAUUCCUAGUGUAGCGGUGAAAUGCGUAGAUAUUAGGAGGAACACCAGUGGCGAAGGCGGAUUGCUGGACGAUAACUGACGGUGAGGCGCGAAAGUGUGGGGAGCAAACAGGAUUAGAUACCCUGGUAGUCCACACUGUAAACGAUGAAUACUAGGUGUGCGGGGACUGACCCCUUGCGUGCCGCAGUAAACACAAUAAGUAUUCCACCUGGGGAGUACGAUCGCAAGG